GAUGAACGCUGGCGGCGUGCCUAAUACAUGCAAGUCGAGCGAUCAGACGAGGAGCUUGCUCCUCUGACGUUAGCGGCGGACGGGUGAGUAACACGUGGAUAACCUACCUAUAAGACUGGGAUAACUUCGGGAAACCGGAGCUAAUACCGGAUAAUAUAUUGAACCGCAUGGUUCAAUAGUGAAAGACGGUUUUGCUGCCACUUAUAGAUGGAUCCGCGCCGCAUUAGCUAGUUGGUAAGGUAACGGCUUACCAAGGCAACGAUGCGUAGCCGACCUGAGAGGGUGAUCGGCCACACUGGAACUGAGACACGGUCCAGACUCCUACGGGAGGCAGCAGUAGGGAAUCUUCCGCAAUGGGCGAAAGCCUGACGGAGCAACGCCGCGUGAGUGAUGAAGGUCUUCGGAUCGUAAAACUCUGUUAUUAGGGAAGAACAAAUGUGUAAGUAACUAUGCACGUCUUGACGGUACCUAAUCAGAAAGCCACGGCUAACUACGUG
rnacentral:rRNA from 1 species